UGGGGAAUAUUGCACAAUGGGCGCAAGCCUGAUGCAGCCAUGCCGCGUGUGUGAAGAAGGCCUUCGGGUUGUAAAGCACUUUCAGCGAGGAGGAAGGUGGUGAGCCUAAUACGCUCAUCAAUUGACGUUACUCGCAGAAGAAGCACCGGCUAACUCCGUGCCAGCAGCCGCGGUAAUACGGAGGGUGCAAGCGUUAAUCGGAAUUACUGGGCGUAAAGCGCACGCAGGCGGUUUGUUAAGUCAGAUGUGAAAUCCCCGGGCUCAACCUGGGAACUGCAUUUGAAACUGGCAAGCUAGAGUCUCGUAGAGGGGGUAGAAUUCCAGGUGUAGCGGUGAAAUGCGUAGAGAUCUGGAGGAAUACCGGUGGCGAAGGCGGCCCCCUGGACGAAGACUGACGCUCAGGUGCGAAAGCGUGGGGCAGCAAACAGGAUUAGAUACCCUGGUAGUCACGCUGUAAACGAUGUCGAUUUUGGAGGUUGUGCCCUUGAGGCGUGGCUUCCGGAGCUAACGCGUUAAAUCGACCGCCUGGGGAGUACGGCC
rnacentral:rRNA from 1 species